rnacentral:rRNA from 1 species
GAACGCUGGCGGCGUGCCUAAUACAUGCAAGUAGAACGCUGAAGGGAGGAGCUUGCUCUUCUUGGAUGAGUUGCGAACGGGUGAGUAACGCGUAGGUAACCUGCCUGGUAGCGGGGGAUAACUAUUGGAAACGAUAGCUAAUACCGCAUAAUAUUGGGUAUUGCAUGAUAGUCAAUUGAAUUUGCAAAUGCACCACUACUUUAUGGACCUGCGUUGUUUAGCUAGUUGGUGGGGUAACGGCUCACCAAGGCGACGAUACAUAGCCGACCUGAGAGGGUGAUCGGCCACACUGGGACUGAGACACGGCCCAGACUCCUACGGGAGGCAAGUAGGGAAUCUUCGGCAAUGGACGGAAGUCUGACGAGCAACGCCGCGGAGUGAAGAAGGUUCCCGGAUCGUAAAGCUCUGUUGUAAGAGAAGAACGGGUGUGAGAGUGGAAAGUUCACACUGUGACGGUAUCUUACCAGAAAGGGACGGCUAACUCAGAAACGUGCCAGCAGCCGCGGUAAUACGUAGGUCCCGAGCGUUGUCCGGAUUCAUUGGGCGUAAAGCGAGCGCAGGCGGUUAGAUAAGUCUGAAGUUAAAGGCUGUGGCUAACCAUAGUAGGCGUUGGAAACUGUUUAACUUGAGUGGGGGAGAGUGGAAUUCCAUGUGUAGCGGUGAAAUGCGUAGAUUAUGGAAAAGGAAUUGACGGAACACCGGUGGCGAAAGCGGCUCUCUGGUCUGUAACUGACGCUGAGGCUCGAAAGCGUGGAUGAGGGUUUGGGGAGCAAACAGGAUUAGAUACCCUGGUAGAUGAAGUCGGUCCACAAUUAGCCGUAACGAUGAGUGCUAGGUGUUUGGGCCUUUCCGGGGCCCAGUGCCGCAGCUAACGCAUUAAGCACUCCGCCUGGGGAGGCCAUCUACGACCGCAAGGUUGAAACUCGGGGCCCGCACAAGCGGUGGAGCAUGUGGUUUAAUUCCGCUAGGAAGCAACUUUGAAGAACCUUACCAGGUCUUGACAUCCCUCUGACCGCUCUAGAUAGAGUUUUCCUUACGUCGGGUCCGGGACAAAGGUGGCAAGCUAAUACAGGUGUGCAUGGCCCUCGUCAGCUCGUGUCGUGAGAUGUUGGGUUAAGUCUCUUAAAGCCCCGCAACGAGCGCAACCCCAUUGUUAGUUGCACUCUAGCGAGACUGCCGGUUUUGGGCCGGAGGAAGGUUGGGAUGAUCAUGCCCCUUAUGACCUGGGCUACACACGUGCUACAAUGGCUGGUACAACGAGUCGCAAGCGGUGACGC